AAGCUAUUGCUUAACCCUUAACAACAAAACCAGACAAAGCUAGUUACAAUGUUAGCGGAAAAAUUAAACUUUUCAAUUACUGCUUUCCAGCCAUUCAAGUGUUGACCCAACAUGUCAAUAAACUUCUACAUUUUGUUUUCAUUUGUUGAUUAUAUCAUCAAAAAGUGAAUUGUAGUUAAUUCAACGGUUAAAUUGGUGUGAAAUGAAUCUAUUUAAACUGAAACCACCUUGGAUCACCAUUUAUUACCCGUAAAUUGAAUCAUUACAAAUGUGGCAGGUCAUAAUUCACCCCUUUUAUUAUUAUCCUAUCAACAACUACAGAUUGUCUCCUCUCGGGUGGCCAUUUCACCAUUACAAGGGUUUUUCUAGGAUUAUAGACAUGACAUAUUUUUUGAUGUAUGGUCCACCACCAUUGUCCACUUGAUUGCUGUCCUAAAGAGCAGAGGGAAAAAUGAGACUAACAAAUGGAUAUUAGUGUUGAAAGUCACUUUAUACACUACCAGUGAUACCUUCAUCAUUAUCAACCUUUAGCUGUCGUUGAAGACUGGUCAAACAAACAUCUCUAUUGCAAUGGUUGAUAUUUAUAUUGACAACAAAGGAAAAAAAACCUAAUCAAUUGAUGACUUUACAUCCUGAGGAUCACAAGGAGGAUAGGAAGGAGAGGAAAUGGUGACAAGGAGAGGAAGAAAAAGAAAGAAAAGGAUUCAAAGGAUAAUGAUGAUGCUCAGGAUGCUGUUGAAGUGACCUCACGAUGAGAUGCACUCUAUAUACAAUCAACAACACAUAUGUUUGUGUGUAAACCUGAAAAUCACUUGUUAAUGAUCGAUUUAGCCUGUAGAUUGUAGAUAAUUGUUUGCCGUUAAUUCGAUUAACCAUUUCAAGUGGCUUGUUAUGUGAUAUUAUACAUUUAGAUUUUACAUCUUCCCUUACAUUCAAACCUUUUCAAGUGGCUAUCAUCCAAUCCAAUUUCCUAUUAAUAAAUGCACGCACAUAAAUGUGUAUAUUUAUUAUAGUAUCCACUUGAAGACAACACUGAAUUUUAUACGUUAAUGUAAUCAUGGUAAAUGACUAUCAUCAUUGAUUGUUAUCGAGUAGAGUUUAAAGUAAAAAUAGAUUCUAAAAUGAUUGAAGUAUCAAAGUGAUGGUUAUUAUUAUUAUCAAUUGAGGUAAGAUACAAAAAUACAGUUACAAUAUUUUGAUGAAAAUUUUUUUUUAAAAUCAAUCUUUGUAUCCAUUUAGCUUGGCAUACUUACAACAAUCAAUGAUGGUAAUGAUUUACAAGGAGGUUUUGAAUAGAAACCAAAAUCAUCUGUUUUUUGCUUUCUAAUUUAAAAGUGAUAUUAACCUGAAAUGGUUAACUAAAUUGGAUUAGUCCCAGUCUAUUAUCAUUGCCAUUAUAUUGUGUUUAUAUCAUGAUUUUACUGCUUAAAUUAUUCCCAAUCAGUUGACUUAAUCUAUUAGGAU